AAACCCAAAUAUCACAUCCACUAGAGUAGCAUACAUGAGUUUCACAAGAUUACAAGAUCAAUCCAAGGAUAAUAGCACUAGGUAAGUUCUUCCCACUAGGUGAGGUCUUGAUGUUGAUCUUCUCCAAGAGGAGGCCUUGACAAUCCAAAGGAUUCUUCCCUAGGUGGGGGCUUGAUCUCCAAAGAGGAGGGGAUACAAGGAGCAAAGCUAACAAUGUAUAAUCUAAUACUUUGCUAACCCUACAAAUGACCUACGAGGUGUCCUUAUAUAGUCUAGGGGCGAAACAAGAUAAGAAAAGAGGGGUACAAAGGCCAAAAGGCCAAAACGUGUGGCUGGGCGAAGGGGUCCGGGCACCCGAGCAACUUGGGCCGGGCACCUGGACUGCUUAGGGGUCGGCUGGCGGGUGGCCGGGCACCCGGGGGCCCAAUUCCCGGGCACGCGGGGUGGCGCUGGAGCUGUCCAGGUGGGGUGGCCGGGCACCCAGGGUAGCGCCCAGCGGCUGGGGCAGCGCGGGCCGGGCACCCGGCCAGCCAUGGCCCGGGCACCCAGGGGCACGACUGUAGGUGGGCAGGAGCCCGGGAACCCGGGGGCUGCAGGUGCCGGGCACCCGGGGCGUCCAGGGGGUUUUGCACCUUCUCUUCCUUCUUCACUCUUCUUGCUCUCUCCUUCCUUCUCUUGCUUCAAGGAGGCUCGCAGCUCCGUCUUCUCCUUCUCACAGUCAACUUCCUCGUACCUAAGAGUGAGCGAUGUUUACAUUUGAGGUAGCAUCCAAUCCUCACACGAAUCCGAACGAGACUUUAAUAGGAAAGAGUUCACCCCAUUCUCGAUGGUGCGUGCACGUGCUCUUGUCAUAGGUCCACUUGGUGCUUGCGGUGAUGAUGGAGUGUCGGUGCGAGUAUUCGAUGGAUGCUCUGCAUCAUCUUCCCCCCCUUGGGAGAGAUCCGUCCACGGAUUUUGCUCUUCAUCACCAUGGUACUUGGCCAAGUCUUAGACGUUGAAGAUGUUGCUAACGUUGUACUUGUCGCAUGGGAUGUCGACCUUGUAGGCGUUGUCAUUGUAGCGUGCGAUCACCUUGAAUGGUCCGUCGGCUCAAGGGUGUAGCUUGGACUUGUGUUCCUUGGGGAAGCGGUCUGUGCGGAGAUGUAUCCAUACUUUAUCGCCGGUUGGAACACCAUCGGAGACUUGUUGAUGUUGAGCUUGGCGGUGAGGCAUUGCACUUGGCGCUCGAUCGUGGAACGUGUUUCUUCAUGCAUCUUCUUGAGGUAGGCGACUCUUGCACUUGCGUUAAUGUUUGCUCGUUCUUGAAGUGGUAGAGGAAGGAUGUCCGAUGGCGACAAAGGGUUGAAACCAUAGACAACCUCGAAGGGGGACUUGCGGGUUGUAGAGUGUCUUGCGUGGUUGUAGGCGUACUUGGCGAUGGGUAGGCACUCCUCCCACUCCUUGAUGUUCUUCUUGAUCAACACACAUAGGAGAGUUGCAAGCGUCCGGUUGGUGACUUCCGUUUUGUCAUCGGUUUGAGGAUGAUAUGCCAUGGAGAAUAGUAGCUUGAUCCCGAGCUUGGCGCAUAGUGUCUUCCAAAAGUAGCUUAAGAACUUGACGUCUCGAUCCGACACAAUUGUCUUUGUACGCCGUGCAACCUCAAGAUUUCCCUACAAAAGAGAUUGGCAACAUGUGAAGCGUCAUCUAUCUUAUUGCAUGGGAUAAAAUGAGCCAUUUUAGAGAAACGGUCCACAACAACAAAAACGGAAUCCUUGCCAUUUUGAGUCCUAGGUAAUCCAAGCAAAAAAUCCAUGCUAAUGUCUUCCCAAGAUUGAUGUGGAAUAGGUAAAGGAAUAUGUAAACCAUGGGAUUGAGAGUGUGACUUAGCUUUGCAACAUGUACAACACCGGUUGGUGAAGCGGGCGACAUCACGAAACAUCUUGGGCCAAUAAUAGUUCUUGGAGAGCAUGGUGAAAGUCUUGUUGCGUCCAAACUGUCCCAUGAGUCCGCCUCCAUGAGCCUCUUGCAAAAGGAGCAAACGAAGAGAACACUCGGGAAUGCAUAGUUUGUUAGCUUUCAUAAGAUAACCAUCUUUGAUAUAAUAUCUUUCCCAAGAAGUAUGCGUGACACACUUAGCAUAUGGAGUAGCAAAAGUUACAUCACCCUCAUACAAAUCUUUGAUAUGAUCAAAUCCAACUACAUUCAAUUCAAGUUGAGUAAGUAACAUGCAUUUGCGGGAAAGGGCAUCCGCCACCACGUUUUCUUUGCCCUUAAUGUACUUUAUCACAUAGGGAAAAGAUUCAAUGAAUUCACUCCAUUUAGCAUGCCGUUUAUUCAACUUGGUUUGACCUUUGAGGUAUUUAAGUGUUUCAUGAUCGGUAUGUAUGACAAACUCAUGCGGUCUACCUUAAUGCUCCCACACAUGUAACACACGCACUAAAGCAAACAAUUCUUUGUCAUAGAUGGGAUAGUUAAGUUGAGCACCGGAAAGUUUUUCACUAAAAUAUGCAAUAGCUCGUUUUUCUUGCAUCAAAACUCCACCAAGUCCGGUACCACUUGCAUCGCAAUGAACCUCAAAAGUUUUGUCAAAGUUUGGUAAAGCAAGAAUCGGAGCAUGGGUAAGCAAAGACUUGAGCUCGUCAAAAGUGGUUGAUUGCAAAGGUCCCCAAACAAAAGGAGCGUUCUUCUUACUCAAAGCAUGCAAAGGAGCGGCAAUAGUGCUAAAAUCUUUCACAAAGCGACGAUAAAAACCCGCAAGGCCAAGAAAACUUCGCACUUGUUGCAAAUUGGUGGGUUGGGGCCAAGUUUUAAUUGCUUCAAUUUUAGAUUCAUCAACAUGUACACCCUUGGAAGAAACAAUGAAUCCCAAGAAAACAAGCUUGUCAACACCAAACGUGCACUUUUUCAUGUUGGCAUAAAGACGUUCCUUGCGAAGAGUUUGUAAAACAGCCCUAAGAUGACUUAGAUGCUCUUUCAUUGAUUUGCUAAAGACAAGAAUAUCAUCAAAGUAAACCACAAGGAAAACUACAUUGUAAGGUCGAAGCACAAAAUGCAUAAGACGCAUGAAAGUAUCGGCAGCUUUCGAUAAACCCAUAGGCAUAACCAACCACUCGUACAAGCCAAAUUUAGUUUUGAAAGCGGUUUUCCAUUCAUCACCUUCUUGUAUGCGGAUUUGAUAAUAACAACUUUUAAGAUCAAUUUUUGAGAAAAUGGUAGCACCGCUAAUUUCAUCAAGCAUAUCAUCUAAGCGAGGAAUGGGAUGCCUAUAAAAAACGGUAAUAGCAUUGAUAGGUCUACAAUCCGAGCACAUGCGAAAUCUACUGUCUUGCUUGGGCACAAGUAUAACGGGAACGGCACAAGGGCUUAAGCUUUCACGUACAUGACCUUUGUCGAUGAGUUGUUGUACUUGCCGUUGGAUCUCCUUUGUUUCUUCGGGGUUGACGCGGUAGGGAGCCUUGUUUGGAAGAGGUGCGCCCGGGAUGAGGUCGAUUCGAUGCUCAAUGCCUCGAAGAGGAGGUAGACCCGGAGGCAGCUCAUCGGGGAAAACAUCUUGAAAUUCCUGCAAAACAUAUUGAAAUACCAAAGGUAUCUUGUGAGAGGUGUUAGUUUUUGGUUCUCCAUCCUUGCACACAAGGACAAAGUGCAUCACACUCGAUGGGUUCUCACACACUUCUCUCAUCUCACUUUUUGAGGCAAAUAGUAUGAGGUUUUUCUCUCUAGGCGAAGAGGCGCUCAAGUUUGGCUUGUGGCUCUCACUCACGUUUGGGUGGAUCACUUUCUCACUCUUCUCUCCAUGAUGGGUAACUUGCUUGUCGGCUAUCACUUGACUAGGAGACAUAGGUCGUAGCACAUAUUCCUUCACUUUCAUCUUGAAGCUAUAGUAAUUGGUACACCCAUUGUGGAUGACACCACGGUCGAAUUGCCAUGGUGGACCAAGAAGGAGGUGGCAAACGGUCAUUGGGACCACAUCAAACUCCAAAGUGUCCUCAUAUGCACCAAUUUUGAAGGAGACUUGGACCGUAUGCUCAACUCGGAUAGUGUCGGAGUCACUUAGCCAUUGAACCUUGUAAGGGUGCGAAUGCUUCCUCUUGACCAAUUGAAGCUUGGAGCAUAGUUCUUCACUUGCCAAAUUGUGGCAACUACCUCCAUCGAUGAUGACCUUGACAGAGCGCCCAUUGAUGCCGGCCUUGGUGUGGAAGAUGUGGUACUGUUGGUCUUCGUCUUGGUGGUGUUGGAGCGUCAAGACCUUGGAGACCACAAGAGAGGGACUUGAAUCGUUGUCACAAAAGACUUGAUCAUAUUCAUCUUCAUUCACGCGCCGGUGCAUGGCCACGUGAUCAAUGGCUUCCAUUUCUUUUUCACUCAUUGAGUCAUAUGUGUCGUCAUCGUUGAAGAUCAUUGUUCGCUUGUUGGUGCAUUGGAAGGACUUGUGUCCUCGGCCGCCACAUGUGAAGCAUUUGAAUGAACUUGUCUUGACGGGAUCAUCGGGAGGCGCCAAAGAUGAAGGAGGCUUGGAUUUGUAGGUGCUUGCCGGAGGACUAGUCGAGGAAGGUGCCACUUGCUUGGAACUUGACUAGUCGCGGGUACUUGGUGAUGCUCGAGUUGAUAUAGGAGGUGCCGAAGUCGCGGGAGCUUGAGGGUAGGAGCCGUAGGACUUGGACGAGUACUUGGCGUAUUUGAAGUCAUCUUGUACUUGUCGCUUGGCCUUGGUCGCUUGAUGAACUAGCUCAAGAAGGUUGGAGUAUGGUUGGAAGUUGGCGAUCCGCUUGAUUGGGUGGUUGAGGCCAUUCAAGAAGCGUGCCAUUGUUUGCUCCCCAUCUUCCUUGACAUUGGCUCGUAGCAUGGCAAUCUCCAUUUCUUGGUAGUAUUCUUCCACCGUCUUUGUGCCUUACUUGAGGAGUUGCAACUUCUUGAAAAGAUCUCGAGUGUAGUGAGUAGGCACAAAGCGGGCUCUCAUGACUUCCUUCAUUUCUUCCCAUGUUGUGAUUGGUGGUUCGCCUCUUGUAUAUCGUUGCUCGAUCACUUUUUCCCACCAAAUGAGGACGUAGUCUUGGAACUCGAGGGAGGCCAUGGCGAUCUUCUUUUCUUCAUCGUAGUUGUGGAGGCGAAAAGUCUUGUCCACCUUCAACUCCAAAGAGAGGUAUUCUUCGGGAUCAUUGCUUCCGGAGAACUUUGGCAUGGUGAACUUGAGCUUGUCGUAGCGGAGUUCUUCAUCUUUAUAGCGGUUUUGAUAUCGCUAUAGCCUUGGAAAGUCCUCAAAUGCUAGUUCUUCGUGAUGUCGCUCAUGGCGUGGAGGAGUGUCUUGAAGCACUUGUUCCACUUGGUGUCGCUCUUAUCUUGGAGGAGGGCGAGGAAUGUGCGCUUGAAUGCGCCUUUCUUGUUGCUCUUCGCGUCGGGCUGCUUCUUCUUGUAUCUCGCGACGAAGAGCUUCCUCUUAUUCUCGCACUUGGUGGUUGCGGACAUCAACGGCUCUAGUGGCCUCGCAUAGAGCUUGUUGUGCUUCAAGUGCUUGAGCUUCACGUUCGAGGGCUUGUUCUUCAUGGCGCUCUUGUGCUUGUCGAAGUGCAUCACCGUCUUGAUGCACUUGACGUGGUACUUGUGGAGGUAUUUGAUCUUGCUCCAUUGCUCCUUGAGGUACUUGGUGUCGCAUCUGUUCACGUGCUCGAACUCGGUCUUGUAAGCCAUUGCGAUGGAAUGGAUUUUAUUGAGCUUGGUGAUCUUGAGGAUGACCACGUCGAGGAAGGCGAGCUCGUGGCGGACUUGCAUCAUAAGAGGAGUAGUCCGAAGAUUGCCGACUUGUACGGUGACUUGCGUGGCGCCAUCUUGAAGAAGCGGAUGAGGAAGACGGGUGUCGCAAGAUCAUGUUGCGGAGCUCUUCCAUUUAUGUGUUGAAUUUGUCGUCGAUGUUUUGACAAAGGUCGGAGGCGAGUUGCUCCAAGCGUUUUCCCAAUGCGACGUUUUCUUGAUGAAGCGCUCGUUGCGCGAUGAAGAAGUGGUACUUGGAGACGAAGCCGGAAUCAUCACCUUGCUCCUCGAAAAAUGGGUUCGACGACGAGUUUGGCCUAUCCAUCAUAACCAAGUGGAGUGAGUAGGAAAAUGAGAGAACAAUACCAAAGUUACCUUCUCCGAGGAUUGAGGAUGUAACAAGUGUCACUCAAUGUAAUGCCACAAUAGGAGAAUUGGAACUAGGUUCGUUUCUCACACCUACAAAUAAGAGGCUUAUGGAGUAGCUCGGUUAGGAUGGUGGCAAAUUUUUUACGCAAAUGUUAGUCAAGAUAUCGAUAAAGUUGAGAAGGUUCACAAAAAUGCAAGUAAACCAAAUAGAUCAAACCCAAAGGUAUCACUAGGUACACACGCACGGAAGAUAGAUGGGAUCCGCACAACCAAGGAGUGAGCUCAAAAUGCGCAACCACGGAAAAUGCUCUUGUUGUGCGAAUGCUCGAGAGACACUAGCUCGAUUGCUCAAAUGGGCAAGAUACGCUUGUGCACCUACCUAUGAGAGAAAUGUGUUGUCUUCAAUCCCAACUAUGGUCUCUAUGCGAUGACCGAGAUGAUAUAACUAUGCAAAUGGCUCAACUCUAUUUCUUACAAGCUCAUUGUUGCUCCUAUUUUGAUUAAAAGCUUUUCUUUUUUUUCUAUGCUUGAUGCUCGAGCCGAGUAUGAUAUGAGACAAGUAUGUAUGAUAUGCAUGGGAGAGACUUAUGGCAGAAGGAUGAUAACACAAUCACUAUGGUGCACAAUAGCGUGGCCCGGCAAUUCUCAACUUGCUAGUCUCAAUGGGUAAGUAACGCAAAGUGGCUCGGGCUAUCAAUGCAAAAAGCAAGUUAAGAAGUAAGUGUCGUCGAGGUUACCAUCCUUUCUCAUGGUUAGUGGUGAAGAUGUCUCCAAGUCGAUGAUGGUGAUGACGAUGUCACAUGCUCCUAAGUACCUGAAACACCUCAGGAAACGGAAAUGGCAACACAAAAUCGGUCAAGUGUGGAAGGUUGGUGUUUUUGUGAUGUUUUUUUGGAUGGGGCUAAUGGUGGUGGUAGUGGCAUGAGUGGAUGGCGGAUGUCAAGAGCUUCUAAACAAGCUAAAGAACACGAAAAACGGACUUGGGAGGUGGAAGUUAUGGCCAAAAUAGUGUUGGUAGUGGACUGAUUUUGGGGGGUGCGGGCACCCAGGGGUGUGAGGUGCGGGUGCCCGAGGGUGGCUGGGAGAAAUGGCCCGGGGGUUCGAGGUGCGGGCACCCGGUGGUGACCGAUUUGGGCGGAAAUCUUUGGGGAAAGGCCAAAGUCGGUGGAUUUCGUGGUGGGAAGGGUGGGGAUAGCUGGGGAGGGGCUAGAUCCACUUGCCAAACAUCAAAUCCAUGGACCAAAACAACCAAAUCUCACAAGAUCCAAACAGUUUUUGGGGCUAUUUUUGUGGGGAUUUUCGGAUUUGGACGAAAAACAACAAAAUCAAGCUAGCAAAUGGGGGGAUGGGACUCCGAGAUGUGAAUAAACCAUGCUCAUGAUACCAAGAUGUUGUAGGGUCAAACCCUAUGUGGGAUCUUUUCACACUUGGUGGGUGAAAAGGAGGAAAAACUCAAGAACACCAAGAACAAAACUCUCAAACAAACCCAAAUAUCACAUCCACUAGAGUAGCAUACAUGAGAUCCACAAGAUUACAAGAUCAAUCCAAGGAUAAUAGCACUAGGUAAGUUCUUCCCACUAGGUGAGGUCUUGGUGUUGAUCUUCUCCAAGAGGAGGCCUUGACAAUCCAAAGGAUUCUUCCCUAGGUGGGGGCUUGAUCUCCAAAGAGGAGGGGAUACAAGGAGCAA
rnacentral:lncRNA from 1 species